CUCCUCUUCUUCUCCCCGUCGGCUGAAUGCGCACGCGCGGCAAGAGCUGCGCGCGCAUUCAGCCGGUCACAUAGGAAAGCAUUCAUAAUGCUUUCCUAUGGACGCUGGCGUGCUCUCACUGUGAAAAUCACAGUGAGAAGCACGAAAGCGCCUCUAGCGGCUGUCAAUGGGACAGCCACUAGAGGAAAUAGGGGAAGGCUUAACCCAUUCAUAAACACAGCAG
rnacentral:lncRNA from 1 species